CCCUUUAAUUCUUCACUCCCCACACACACCCUCCAAAUCACCCCUCCCCCCCAAUCCUUGUCCCUCCUCUGUGUCGCUGUGCUUAUUUCAUCCCGGGGUGGGUGGGGAGAGAAAAAGUAAUUUGUCUGUUUUAUUUAUGAUGCAAUGAAGGUACGCUGCUCUCGUCAGGAUAGCCUGACACUGGUCAGACCAUCUGACAGGCGAGAAGAACUGCCUUCAUACUCCAAUGAGUGUAUAUUUUAACCAUUUGUCUGCCGCUGGAUGCUGUGAGGUUUCAUCAGGAGUCACAACACCUCCUUUUCAAAAAUCUGUUACACCCCGAUUAGAAUUGGAACAUGAAGUGUUUUCAUGGGAUCUUGUCAUAUACAGUAAGCAUAAACAAUGAAGAUAAGAGAAAUUUGUCCACCCCAUUAUUACCUUACAGGACAACCAUCACGGAUGUGUUCUGUCAUGGAACAUGCUACUCACCUUAUGGCUGCACCCCACAAUAGAAAAACUAAAGCAGCAAUGUUUCCACCCA
rnacentral:lncRNA from 1 species